GACGUAGGGCGCGAGCGUUGUCCGGAUUUAUUGGGCGUAAAGAGCUCGUAGGCGGCUUGUUGCGUCGACUGUGAAAACCUGCGGCUCAACCGUGUGGUCUGCAGUCGAUACGGGCAGGCUGGAGUUCGGUAGGGGAGACUGGAAUUCCUGGUGUAGCGGUGAAAUGCGCAGAUAUCAGGAGGAACACCGGUGGCGAAGGCGGCAUCCUGGACCGGUAUUGACGCUGAGGCGCGAAAGCUAGGGGAGCAAACGGG
rnacentral:rRNA from 1 species